AACGAACGCUGGCGGCGUGGAUUAGGCAUGCAAGUCGAACGCGAAAGAGGGAGCAAUCCCUCAAGUAGAGUGGCGAACGGGUGAGUAACGCGUGAAGAACCUGCCUUCAACAGGGGGAUAACACUCCCAACGGGUGCUAAUACCGCAUGAGACCACGGGUCCGCAUGGACCUGAGGUCAAAGGUGGCCUCUGCUUGCAAGCUACCGGUUGAAGAUGGCUUCGCGUCCCAUUAGCUAGUUGGCGGUGUAAAAGACCACCAAGGCGACGAUGGGUAGCUGGUCUGAGAGGAUGGUCAGCCACACUGGGACUGAGAUACGGCCCAGACUCCUACGGGAGGCAGCAGUCGAGAGGCUUUGGC
rnacentral:rRNA from 1 species